rnacentral:lncRNA from 10 species
CGAAAGCACCGGGUACUUCAGAAUGUAAGAAUGAAAGGACAUAUUUCCAGACUGAAUGAACCCCACGAACUACUCAGCAUCCCACGUUAAAGUAGACUCAUGCAGAAGUACAUCAUCAUGAAAUUUUGGAACACUGCGAACAUGCAGACCCUAGAAGCAUCCUGAUUUUUUAAAAAACUCACAUACAAAGGAUUGAAAAUCAGAAUAUUGUCAGACUUCUUAAAGCAAGUUAAACUGCAGAACAAUGGAGCAAUGUCUUCAAAGUUCUCAGAGAAGAUUGUUUCCAACCUCUAAUCUGUACCCUAACAACUAAUAAAGUGUGAAGUUAGAAUAAGGACAGUUUCAGGCAAACAAGAUCCCAGCAAAUUUACAUUCUAUGCAUCAUUUCUCAGAAAGCUAAAGGAGGAUGUGUUCAUUAAGUAAAGAGUAAACUAAGAAAGGGCAAGAUAUGGAAUCCAAGGAACAGGGACCUCACUCAAGAGAGUCAAAGGGAAUUCCCUGGAUGACAGCAAAAGAAGAUUCCCAAGGCAACAGCUGUGUUGCAUCCUUGAAUGUAACUGGCCCAGACUGAAGAGGAGGACAGAACCUCC